CUACGGGACGCAGCAGUGAGGAAUAUUGCACAAUGGGGGGAACCCUGAUGCAGCAACGCCGCGUGGAGGAUGACGCAUUUCGGUGUGUAAACUCCUUUUAUAUGUCAAGAAAACGACGGUAGCAUAUGAAUAAGCACCGGCUAACUCCGUGCCAGCAGCCGCGGUAAUACGGAAGGUGCAAGCGUUACUCGGAAUCACUGGGCGUAAAGGACGCGUAGGCGGGUUGGAAAGUCAGGUGUGAAAUCCUACAGCUUAACUGUAGAACUGCACUUGAAACUUCUAAUCUAGAGUAUGGGAGGGGGAGAUGGAAUUAGUGGUGUAGGAGUAAAAUCCGUAGAUAUCACUAGGAAUACCUAAAGCGAAGGCGAUCUCCUGGAACAUUACUGACGCUAAGGCGUGAAAGCGUGGGGAGCAAACAGGAUUAGAUACCCGCGUAGUC
rnacentral:rRNA from 1 species